CUGACCUUGCACGAGUGCACCGAGCAUCGCUGUGCAGAUGCUGUGACCUACGGGAAGGUCCACGUUGCACUUCCCACCAAGAGCCCCGCACUGAGUGCACGACGGGAGGACAUGAGCUUCUCACAGCUGUGAAACGAGAAGCUGGGGGGGGGGGGGGGGGGAACAUAACAAACUGCUUUUCCUUGGGAUGAGAAUGGGAGACCUAAUCCAGAAUGAAAUGUGCAAUCGUUUUUCCUGAGUGUAAAAGACUUGUUAUGAUUUUUUAUGAUGACUUCAGAAAUUCAGGUGUGCUACACCCGAUAGUAAUUAAAAAUCCAUGACAUGCCAAGGAAGAAAACAAACAUCUUUCCAUCAAACACACCUCUAAAUAACUCCUCCCAAUACCCUCACCCUGUUGGGAAGGAGCCUGUACCUUUUCUGGUUUCUUCCCAGAUAAGCUGAGCAACUGCAGGUGUAGCCACUGGUGUGCGGGCAGUGGGAAGCACGCUCUGGGCUGAUGGCAAAGGCUGCCUCUGCAAUGUGGGUGACUUCACUUGAGAAUGGAUCGCAUCCUCCUGCUUACCUGGGUCCCCUCUGGCAUCAUGGCACCAACGUCCAGUGUCCUGGGACAGCAGGAGGUUUCAGUAACCAUUAAACACAGAUCACAAGCCACAGAGACAUUAAAAGGGAACACGUAAAGCUGCCUUCAGACAACAGUCAGAUCUGAAUCUGCAAUGACUUUCUGAUUUCAAAGCUUCAAGAGGACACCAUUUUUGUGAUUGAACAUGAAAAGAAGAGUGGAGACUGAGGACUUGUUGAGAUGCUUGCUGGGAACUCAUUCUCCCAGCACGGUGACUUUUUUUUCUUGGUGGUUUAGAUAGAUGUAAGAUUGAAUUUACAGCUAAAUUAUCUUGAUAAUAGCAGUAAAUGAGACUGCACUGCUCUAUAUAUAGUCUUCUUGGAAAUAUGAGAUUCAUCUGCCCUUUCCAAGACAGACAUCAAUGAACAGACUCUGAGCUCCAAGCCAUACUUUUUCCAGAUUUGGGGGUUUUUUUUAGGUUUAUAGAAUUUAUUUUACUUAUUUUAGACAUAAUUAAGCAG
ensembl:lncRNA